rnacentral:rRNA from 1 species
GAGUUUGAUCAUGGCUCAGAUUGAACGCUGGCGGCAGGCCUAACACAUGCAAGUCGAGCGGAUGAAGGGAGCUUGCUCCUGGAUUCAGCGGCGGACGGGUGAGUAAUGCCUAGGAAUCUGCCUGGUAGUGGGGGAUAACGUCCGGAAACGGGCGCUAAUACCGCAUACGUCCUGAGGGAGAAAGUGGGGGAUCUUCGGACCUCACGCUAUCAGAUGAGCCUAGGUCGGAUUAGCUAGUUGGUGGGUAAAGGCCUACCAAGGCGACGAUCCGUAACUGGUCUGAGAGGAUGAUCAGUCACACUGGAACUGAGACACGGUCCAGACUCCUACGGGAGGCAGCAGUGGGGAAUAUUGGACAAUGGGCGAAAGCCUGAUCCAGCCAUGCCGCGUGUGUGAAGAAGGUCUUCGGAUUGUAAAGCACUUUAAGUUGGGAGGAAGGGCAGUAAGUUAAUACCUUGCUGUUUUGACGUUACCAACAGAAUAAGCACCGGCUAACUUCGUGCCAGCAGCCG